GACGAACGCUGGCGGCGUGCUUAACACAUGCAAGUCGAACGGAAAGGCCCUGCUUUUGUGGGGUGCUCGAGUGGCGAACGGGUGAGUAACACGUGAGUAACCUGCCCUUGACUUUGGGAUAACUUCAGGAAACUGGGGCUAAUACCGGAUAGGAGCUCCUGCUGCAUGGUGGGGGUUGGAAAGUUUCGGCGGUUGGGGAUGGACUCGCGGCUUAUCAGCUUGUUGGUGGGGUAGUGGCUUACCAAGGCUUUGACGGGUAGCCGGCAUGAGAGGGUGACCGGCCACAUUGGGACUAAGAUACGGACCAGUCGCGUACGGGAGGCAGCAGGGGGAAAUAUUGCACAAUGGGCGCAAGUCUGUUGCAGCAACGCCGCGUGCGGGAUGACGGCCUUCGGGUUGUAAACCGCUUUCGCCUGUGACGAAGCGUGAGUGACGGUAAUGGGUAAAGAAGCACCGGCUAACUACGUG
rnacentral:rRNA from 1 species